UUGCGGCUAUAUCACGUUGAAACACCGGCUCCCGUUCGAUCACCGAAGUUAAGCAACAUCGAGCAUGGUCAGUACCUAGAUGCGUGACUGCUUAGGAAUGCCAUGUGCUGUAA